GAUGAAGAACGCAGCGAAAUGCGAUAAGUAGUGUGAAUUGCAGAAUUCAGUGAAUCAUCGAAUCUUUGAACGCACAUUGCGCCCCUUGGUAUUCCAUGGGGCAUGCCUGUUCGAGCAUCAUUUGUACCUUCAAGCUCUGCUUGGUGUUGGGUGUUUGUCUCGCCUCUGCGUGUAGACUCGCCUCAAAACAAUUGGCAGCCGGCGUAUUGAUUUCGGAGCGCAGUACAUCUCGCGCUUUGCACUCAUAACGACGACGUCCAAAAGUACAUUUUUACACUCUUGACCUCGGAUCAGGUAGGGAUACCCGCUGAACUUAAGCAUAUCAAUAAGCGGAGGA
rnacentral:misc_RNA from 1 species